AUGAACGCUGGCGGCGUGCCUUAAGCAUGCAAGUCGGACGAAGAUAUAUGAAGUCGCAAGACAGAUUGUUGAUUAGUGGCGGACGGGUGAGUAUAAGCAGGGAACGUACCUUGAACUAUCGGAUAGCUCGUCGAAAGACGGGGUAAUACGGUAUGUGGACGCAAGUCUAAAGUCGCAAGACGGUUCUAGAGCGGCCCUGUUCCCAUCAGCUUGUUGGUAGGGUAACGGCCUACCAAGGCUACGACGGGUAGGGGGUGUGCGAGCACGACCCCCCACAAUGGCACUGCGACACGGGCCAUACACCUACGGGUGGCAGCAACUGGGAAUAUUCGGCAAUGGGCGAAAGCCUGACCGCGCGACGCCGCGUGAGGGAUGCAGUCUUUCGGGAUGUAAACCUCUUUUAUAUAGCCGUCGCGGCUAUAAGAAUAAGCACCUCCAAACUACGU
rnacentral:rRNA from 1 species